UAGCAAUAUAUCGUACUGUAUCAAAUCAUCAAGUGCACACAAAGAAGAAAACCAUGUUCAAGAGAAAAUGAGAAGUAUAUGGCUAAUAGUUUAAUCGUUACAGGAACAAAGAACACUGACCUCCUUUCUCCAUAGUCCAUAGAAGUUCGGGAAAAGGUUGCAUCAUAUAGCUUGUCAGCUUAUAGUGAUGACCUGCUGAGAAAUCACAGUCAAAAAAGAACUACAGAUCAACAGCUCGAUGGAUCAGAAACAAAUUGCAUGACAAAACAAGAUAACAUCGAUCAGCAACCUACCUUAAGACAAUUACGAACCUGUGAUCGAAGACUGGAGCCCCGAUGAGAUGGUUUUGCUGGUAGUGAGAGAGUGAAGCUGCAACAUGAUCUGAUCGAUGAAAUUAAAGACAUGGAUGCCUUCAAACCGAUCAAAUCCAUACAUAGCUCAGAACAACGAAUGCAGAUCGAGAUCAGAACUGCAGUAGCAGCUCCUGGCUGAAUUCAAUAUAUUCAGCAGUGCAACUCAUGGACCAGAUCAUGCUGGCAGCUUCAGCCUCUCACACCAGCAAGAACUAAUAUCUUCUGACCAAAGAAAAAUGCGUGCUCAAACGAUACUUCUGGCAUUGUGUCAAUCCAUCCAUCUAUAUGUAUAUCAUCAGUGGCAAUUUCGGUAGGGCAGUGAGACAAAAUCUUGCGAGCGCCAUGCAUGGGAUGGAGGUCGACUCAUCAAGACU
rnacentral:precursor_RNA from 1 species